UACGUAGGGUGCAAGCAUUGUCCGGAUUUAUUGGGCGUAAAGGGUGCGUAGGCGGCGCGGUAAGUCGGGUGUGAAAUCUCGGAGCUUAACUCCGAAACUGCAUUCGAUACUGCCGUGCUUGAGGACUGGAGAGGAGACUGGAAUUUACGGUGUAGCGGUGAAAUGCGUAGAUAUCGUAAGGAAGACCAGUGGCGAAGGCGGGUCUCUGGGCAACAACUGACGCUGAGGAGCGAAAGCGUGGGGAGCGAACAGG
rnacentral:rRNA from 1 species